UACAUUGACAAAGGUGGCCAUCAGAUACUGGCAGUCAAAGCGAUCCAUGAUGCCUCCAUGGCCAGGAAUGGCUCGUUUGAAUCCACUUGCGAAGAAUCCUCCAAAGGGGCCAAUGAGCGAGGCAAAGGUGGAGAGAGCGAUGCUGUGAAUCUGGAAGGGGUACAUCCGGACCGUUUUCUGAGAAGAGUAAAUGAAGUAAAAGUUUAGGUGCAU
rnacentral:lncRNA from 1 species